GAUGACUUGUGGCUGGGGGUGAAAGGCCAAUCAAACCGGGAGAUAGCUGGUUCUCCCCGAAAGCUAUUUAGGUAGCGCCUCGUGAAUUCAUCUUCGGGGGUAGAGCACUGUUUCGGCUAGGGGUCAUCCCGACUUACCAACCCGAUGCAAACUACGAAUACCGAAGAAUGUUAUCACGGGAGACACACGGCGGGUGCUAACGUCCGUCGUGAAGAGGGAAACAACCCAGACCGCCAGCUAAGGUCC
rnacentral:rRNA from 1 species